rnacentral:lncRNA from 1 species
GAGCUUUUAACCCAUGGAUCCUUGGAAAAGGAAAGGUCAUGGGUUAUUAGGGUUUCACCCUAACCAUGCACACUAUAUAAGCAUGCUUAUGGAGCAUGAAAUGGCAACUAGUGAACUAGUGUGUGUGUGCUUGUGUGUGGCCAAAAAUACAAGUGUGUAUACUCUCUCAAAGUUUUCCAAGAGUUUGUGGUGUUUUGUGAUUCCAUUUGAGGCAUUCACACUAUUGGUGCUUGGCCCUCAAACUCCUUAAGAACCAAACUCAUCAAAAAGGUAUGUAAUCUCUUCUAACUCUUUUAUGUUGAAAUGUUCCCCAUGCCAUGUUAGAUAGGUUAUGAACCUUGGAAAAUUAUUAUUUUGCAUGUAUUUAGACAAACAUAGAUCCAAGGUUUAUUAGGGUUGCAUGCACACUUAGGAAGUGUUAGAUUGCUCAAAACCCAACAGUGGUAUCAGAGCCUAGGCUUGCUUGUUUGAUACUUGAUGCAAAAUAGUGAAAAAAGUUGAAAUUGUUGCUGUCUGGCUGAUGGACUCGCCGAGUCCAUGGGGGGACUCGCCGAGUUCAAGGCAAAAUUCAUCCUACUCGGCGAGUAGGUUCGUGCACUCGGCGAGUAGAAUGAUCAGAAUGCAGAAUUUCGACUUUUGCUGCUGGAAAUGGACUAGAAACAUUACCCUAAACUGUUUUGGUGUUUUAAAACUUGUUUUAGUUGGUGUAAUGGUUGUUCUAAUCCAUUUACAAUAGCAUAUAUCAAAAUUCCAUGAUUUUUAUGUGUUCAUAUAAUUCUUGAAAUUUUGAUGAUCAUGUUCAUGUUCUUAUGAAUUUAGAAGAUGAUAGGAAUUAUUUGCUGAAUUGUUUAGAAUUAAUUCUUGAUCAUUUAUGUGUUUUAAUGGAGUCCAUAAUUUGUCCUCAAGUUAUGGAUAUCCAAAGGUCACUUUUCUUUAACACACACAUUUAAACACAUAAGUUACAUGAAAAUGAAGAGUCUUCAUUUUUAUGAACCUUUAAUUCAUAAGUUAUGAAAUGAAAAGUUUUGGAUAGUUACAAAACUUGCCCUCAAGUUUUGGAAUUUGAAAAGUUUCACACACUUUAAUAAACUUUAAUUCCAACACUUAGAGUUUUAAAAGUUAAAAUUCAACACUUAUACUAUUUAUAACAUUAAUGGUUAAUUAUUAUAUAUAUGUAUAAGAACAAGUCGUUUUACCGUUAGUAGGCCUCAUUCACGAAGCCGGUCUAUAAGGUGGGUAUAAGGUUGUUGCCUAUAAAAUGGCGACUUAAUGGGUGUCCACUCUCACCCACCGCUUGCUUGAUCGGUGGAGGGUCGUUAGCCGAACGGGUAGGACAAUGACUUUAAAUUCUCAUUAAAAGUAUAAUGAUUAUUAUAAAGUAACUAAAAAUUUUUUAUUUAAUUCCCAAUCUUAGUUACUUUAGGAAAAAUGUGAAUUUGGUGCUAGCCCAUGGAAUUCACACUUUGUACCUUACCAAGUCGUUGGUGGAGCGUGUGUGGUUAACCGGCACACUAACUUGGACUAGUAAGGAUCACGAAGGGUGACUUAAUGUUUGUCAUAGAUCAAUGGAGCGUGUGUGGUUAACCGGCACAUUGAUUAGGUGAUAAUAUUAAGGGUACCAAGUGAAUUGGUAUGGUUAUUCACACCUUGUUUUGUGAUCCUCGGCAUCCCAGUCACAAAAUUUGAGAGGGCACACUCGAGAUUGAAACAUGCCAUUGAAAAGUUCAAUGAAUCUCAAAAGAUCUAGGAAUUUCAAAUCCAAUUAAAACCUAAUAAAUUAUUUCGUUUUUCAUGGUGGAAAUUGGUGAAUCGUCAUUCGCCUACCUUCAAAUAUUUUAUAGCUUGGAUUACGGCAUCCCUCUUCCAAAUUAUAAAAUAUUGUGUUGGGUCCUAGCCUUAAUAUUUCAUAUUGGGUGUUAUAUUAAGGACUUUGAAUCAACUAACUUGAUUUUCUCCCAUUAUAGAUGUCUGGUUCAGACAACUAUGAUCUUCCCAAAUCUCUUGAAGAUGGUGUCCCUCAACAUCAUGCUUCACUUCCUCCACCUCCUCCAAUUAUUCUCCCUCACCCACAAGUUCUUGAAAAGUUUAAAGUCACUCAAUCCCUAUUGGCAAGCAUAGUCUAUGUGUGCUCACAUCUUGGAGAUAAAGUCACAUAUUGACAAGCCGGGAGAGUUGGGUGUCAAAGUCUCGUGAAAGUUGGAUGUUCAAUCACUUUCUUAGUAACAUAGUGAGUCUCUUUGGGACUACUAUGAGACAGACUAUGACAUGACCCUUAAUGAUGUUAUCUAUUUGCUUGGUGUUGUGGAAUCAGCAAUGAUUUGGAACACCAGUAAAGCAAAUUUGAUUAAAAGAACAACUUCCCAAGUCUUAAAUGGACAUUGACAAUGGUAGCAUUGGAUAUCUAGAAAAGGAUUUCUCUUCCCAAUGGAAAGGGAUCGGCCAUAGUCAACUCGGUUGACCAAAUGGUAAAGAGAAAGGCUAAGUCUGAGAUAGUCUCAUGUGCCAUUACCAAAGGGUCCAUGUGUUUUGUUGCCAAAGGAAGGGGCAUUGGUUGCGAAGCUGCCCUAUUCACCUGAAAGGUCAUAAGGUUGAUCAAGUCAAGAGGUUUGACUCUACUUCGGGUAAAGUCCACUGUCUAACUCUAUUAAGUUCCUAUUUGGAGAUUCUUAUUACAUAAUGUGAAUGGGUCACAUGCUGAUGUUUUUAAGAAUCAAAGAAAAGAUAGGAAGCUUAAAGUAAGUAUAUGUUGAUUCUGAUUGCGAAGGUGGGUUUCGAUCGCAUGGUUCGGUAAUCAGAAUUUUGAGCUGUUGCUUAAGAGUUAUAAUAUAUUGCUUAUGAAUAGAUAACAACAAGGUUUUCAUGUGGAUUGUAAGGAUAAGUUUUUCCGCAAAGUUUUAAAAAAAAAAAAAAAAAGGGUUUUAAUUUUAUUUAUUUUAAAAAUAUCCUUACAAUGGCAUCUGUGGAAAAUUGUUGCUUAUAUGUUUCCAGUAAUAGCAAUAUUGGAAAGUGGAUUUGAUUCUUUCAUUUGUGGUAGUGUCUGAAUUUACCAAAUGAAGAAAGUUUUUCAUCACCCAAGUUUCAAUUGGACAGAAACUUGGAAUCAUACAAGUUGUAUUGUAUGAUGAAUGAGAAUUUUCAUCUUUGAAAAUUAAGACUAAUUCUUUGAUCACAUGUAUAUGUGAGUCAAUUGAAGGACUAAGGAAUUAGGUACACUGGGUGUGCGCUGGUCAAGGUCCACCACAAAGAUUGAUUUGUCAUGAUUUACUAAAGAUUAGUAAAUAUGAUUAUACUUAUGAGGUUAAGUAUAAUUCUGUAACAUUGGAAAGGUUACAAUGUAUGACAAAACAAAUGAGAAGAAUCAAAUUAGGCAGAAAGAUAAAAGUUUCUCAAAUCUGAAAGGAUGGGAGAGUACUUUAGUAUCGUAUUUCAUGAUCAUCUUAAUGAUUAUGAAACCAUAUCACAAAUUCAUACUCUAAGGACGUCUUAGUGCAUUGUUAUGGCUAAGAAGAGAGGUCAUGAAUUGUUGGAUUGGUUAAAAUCAAGAAGAUGAGUCAUACUUCGUUCCAAAACAAUUCUUAGAGUCAUACUCCAAGAUUGUAACUUUGAGUGACAUAAAGGAAGAUUUAUUAACACUAGUCAAAUGUAAGAGUAAAAUGUUUUCUACUCUUGUACAUUUGAGAUUGGUAAGUUGUGAUGUCUUGGAUGAGACAAAGACCAACUAAGACCAAUUGUGUGAAGUGUUAGUCUUGAUAAGAAUCCGCACUAUCCCUUGAAUAUUUGUUUUGUCAAGGAAUGGUUCUUGACUGGGGAAACUUAUAUGUCAAGGGGACAGUGGGAGCCUUAAAGAUCCUGAAAGAGUUUCAAGAUUUAAUCAAGAGUAAAACCUGUAAUUUAUCACUAGCACACGACUUAAGGUUUGCAACCUAUCGUGUUGACAUAAUUCUUAUUUCUGUACCUACUUCAAAUAAGUUGAAUUUGCAUGUGAGUUAUCAGAGUUCAACUUGGAAGCAUUGGUGGGCCUUGUGCUACCAAGGUGACAAGAAACUAAGAUUGAACAAGUUUAAUCCAUGUAAGGCUGAAUUUGUCACUAACCUUAUCUUGUGAUUAUGGUUUUGACAAAUUCACAUGGAUAGGAACUCAUACACUAUAAAAUCUAAGUGUCAUAAGGUUUCUCUCCGAUUCAUGAAAAUGAUGGUGAGGAAACGCUUUCACUAAGUAGAUUUUACGUAGAUAUCAAUUGUGUUAUUUGCAUUUUCAAAAGUCGUUAGUGGAGCGCGUGUGGUUAACCGGCACACUAACAUGGACUUGUGAGAAAUGGCAAAUGCCUAAGCAAUUGAGACUAUGAUUACGGCAUCCCUUUUCAUAGUUCUGAAAAUUGUUUAGACACACAUGUGAGCUAUCUAAGAAAGGGUGUAUGAAUCUAAAUUUCAGAAGUCCAGCAGAUUUCUGGAAAUAUGUCAGAGCUAGUGGGAGCAUAAGUGUUAUGCUGAUAAUCAUCAUGUUAGUGGGAGCAUGAUUAUUACGUUUAGUGUUGCAAGUUAGCAAUGUUAAUUAUAGAAAACAAAGUUUCAAUUCGUGAAGUUGCAGGGGUUGAAAAGUUGUUUUGCUAUAAUUAAGGGAGAGGAAAUUAUACUUCAUUUCAAUUCUAAAGCUUAGAUUGAGAUUUUAAUCAUCUUUAGUCAAGAAUAUAUAUAUGAAUUUUAUGUUGGAAUGGUUCAACUUGAAGAAAUUCUAUAUAUAUUGCGUUUUCAAAAUUCGAUUAUGAUUACGGCAUCCCUCUUCAUAGUUAAAUUUUGAAAACAUGGCAAAUAAAAAAUAUUGUAGCAAAAGACUGGUCUAGUAUCAUGUCUUUAUGUCAAACAUCAUGAAUCGUGUCCCAUAUGCUUCGGAUAUAGGAUCGAUUGCAUGUGCUAUAAUAUUCAUCUUUUCUAAAUUUUCCAAAUGCUUAAGGCAUUGAGAAGGGAAAAGUCUAGAACUGGAUAUGACUAAAGUGAUUAAGCAAUUGUCGAGGACAAUCUGAGGUUCGCCAAAGAUUGGUUGCUCAGGGAAAGUUGGAAGUAUGAUGUAAGUUGUCGGAAAGGACCAUAUUGACAUAUUCUGAAAAGAAGUAACUCUUGUUCGGAAGUGAUAGUCAAAAUGGGACUAUGGAAAUGUCUCCAUAGGUGGAAGUUAUUCAAUCUAUGUAAGAUUAGAAAACCUUAAUGCAAGAAGGAUGUUCAAAGCAAUGUACUUUGAAUAUGAGACUUCCGUUCCAUAGAAGUUGACCUUCUUUGGAAUACUCUGUAAUGACUGGUGACAAGGUUUUGGUGACUUUGUGCAUAAUCAUUACAAGAGGAACAUUGCAUAAAAGUUUAAAAUCUAACAGUUUUUUUGGUAAAUGAUAGGAAUCGGGGAUUCUCACAUUUACAAUAAGGAUUUGGGAUUGUGAAAUGAGUAUCAUUGGAAUCAUGUUCAAUUGAUCUACAUCACAAUGUAAGGAUCAUAGACAAACAUAGUGUGCAUACUUGGAGUAUGGCAUAACUAUUGUUUAGAAAAACAAAGUGUACAUGCUAGGAGCAUGGGACGACUGUUGUUUUUAUUCAAGUCUUAAGUUGAUUGUUUGAAACAUUAUACAAUGAAUAAUGUGUAAUCAAUAUGGUGAUAAAUAAAAGGUGGUUCUAUUUAUAUUCAAAAGGGUUCUGAGACCAUAUUGGAUUCGAUUAUUAUUGUGUUUCACUUUGCAUGUUUUGACUUCCAAAAUAGCUAGGUUAUUCUUUCCGAAUGACUAAGUUAUUUAAACACUCCACAGUCGUUCAUAUGUUGGAAGUAGGUAUGAAUCAAGACUGUCAUGAAUCGAGUUUGUAGAUGGCUAAAUGGGUUUAGUCAUAGCAAUGGUUGCUACAACAUUCAUGAGUGCUCAUAAGUUAUGAGUAUUGGAAUAAACCCACGCUCACUUGUAUCACUUCAUGGAAUUUAUCUCGAGUGAUCGUGAGACGGUAAUAUCAUAUAAAUCUUCAAACCUAGAGAUAUGAGUUGUUACCUAUGAGUUGGUUGUGCAUUGAUUGCACGUAAACGCAUCAGUAACUUGAUGUUAUAAAACGUGCCUUUGUGUACAAUUCAACAAGUAGUAGAACAAGCAUAUGAGUCGAAGUUUAUCUGUUCCUUCUAGAAAUAGAAGCGAUAUCUGGGCCCCUCGAUGAUUUUGUUGUGACCUAUGUACCGGCCGGUCAGAACUAAAUUGAUGUGUUCGAUUAAGUUCUUUGUCAAACAAAUCGAAAAUCGGGAAACAAACUGCUGGACAAUAAGUACGACGUUGUUCCAUGUAUUUGUCCGGCUGAUAUCAUGAGAACAGAGGAUUAUAUGAUCACUUAUCUAAAAUGGCGCUUCAUAGUUCAACAGAGUUUUCGAGAGCUACGAUUGCUGGUUGGUUCCUGAAGUAACAUACGCAAAUAUAGUUAUUAGACUUAUCCAAGUGGGAGUCUGUUGGAUAAGGUGUCUAAGUCCAUAACUUAUUUGGUAUAUACUUGACCCGACCCGGCAUGGUCCAUUUGGGUUGCACUUCACCCGAACUAUUUAUGGAUAAUUUUAUGAGAGUUAUACACAUAUGUUUAUUAAUAUAUUAUAAGUUAUAAUAUAUUAAUAUGAAGUUAUGUUAUUUAAUUAGUCUUAGUCUUAAAUUAAUUAUGAAUUAAUUUAGAGAUUAAAAGGAAGACUAAUUAGAUUAUGGGCUAUUGGUUUUAUAUGGUGUGGGCUAACACUCAUUUGUUAAUGGGCUAGGCUUAUAUGGAAGUCCAUGGAUGAUCCAUGGAGCUUUUAACCCAUGGAUCCUUGGAAAAGGAAAGGUCAUGGGUUAUUAGGGUUUCACCCUAACCAUGUACACUAUAUAAGCAUGCUUAUGUUGCAUGAAAUAGCCACUAGUGUGGUUUUGUGUGUGUGGCCGAUUUUUAUGUGUGUAUACACUCUCUCAAAGUUUUCCAAGAGUUUGUGGUGAUUUGUGAUUCCAUUUGAGGCAUUCACACUAUUGGUGCUUGGCCCUCAAACUCCUUAGGAAUCAAACUCAUCAUCAAAAGGUAUGUAAUCUCAUCUAAUUCUUUUAUGUUUAAAAGUACCCCAUGCCAUGUUAGAUAGGUUAUGAACCUUGGAAAAUUAUUAUUUUGCAUGUAUUUAGACAAACAUAGAUCCAAGGUUUAUUAGGGUUGCAUGCACACUUAGGAAGUGUUAGAUUGCUCAAAACCCAACAGUGGUAUCAGAGCCUAGGGUUGCUUGUUUGAUACUUGAAGCAAAAUAAUAAUAAUAAUAAUAAUAAUAAAAGAAUUUCGACUUUUGCUGCUGGAAAUGGACUAGAAAUAUUACCCUAAACUAUUUUGGUGUUUUAAAACUUGUUUUAGUUGGUGUAAUGGUUAUUCUAAUCCAUUUACAAUAGCAUAUAUCAAAAUUCCAUGAUUUUAUGUGUUCAUAUAAUUCUUGAAAUUUUGAUGAUCAUGUUCAUGUUCUUAUGAAUUUAGAAGAUGAUAGGAAUUAUUUGCUGAAUUGUUUAGAAUUAAUUCUUGAUCAUUUAUGUGUUUUAAUGGAGUCCAUAAUUUGUCCUCAAGUUAUGGAUAUCCAAAGGUCACUUUUCUUUAACACACAUUAAACACAUAAGUUACAUAAAAUGAAGAGUCUUCAUUUUUAUGAACCUUUAAUUCAUAAGUUAUGAAAUGAAAAGUUUUGGAUUGUGGAUGUUCAUGUUCAUAUGAGUUUUGUUAGAUCAUAGGAAUUAUUUGCAAAUUGUUUAUUAGUUAAUUCUUGAUCUUAAUGUGUUUUAAUGGAAUUCUUAAUUUGUCCUCAAGUUAUGGAAUUCGAAGAGUUUUUCUUUUAAAUGUUUUUAAGAAGUUGUAGGUUACAUUUUCUUGAAGAGUUUUUCCCAUAAAUGCUUUUAUGGACUUCAUAACUUGUCCUCAGGUUAUGGAUUUCCAAGAGACUCUUCAUUAAAAGCUUUAAAACACUUAAUUAAAACUCAUAAGUUAUGAAUAUCCAAAAGUUUAUGAAUUGUUCAAAACUUGCCCUCAAGUUUUGGAAUUUGUAAAGUCUCACACAAACUUUAAUUCCAUACCCUAGAAGUUUUAAAAGUUAAAAUUCUACCCUUAGGAAGUGUUAGAUUGCUCAAAACCCAACAAAAUUCUCAUUCAUCAUGCUAUACAACUUGCAUGAUUCCAAGUUUCGAUCCAAUUGAAACUUGGGUG